rnacentral:tRNA from 1 species
GCGCCCGUAGCUCAGCUGGAUAGAGCGCCGGACUUCGAAUCCGUAGGUCGCAGGUUCGACUCCUGCCGGGCGCG